UACGUAGGUCCCGAGCGUUGUCCGGAUUUAUUGGGCGUAAAGCGAGCGCAGGUGGUUUAAUAAGUCUGAUGUAAAAGGCAGUGGCUCAACCAUUGUGUGCAUUGGAAACUGUUAGACUUGAGUGCAGUAGAGGAGAGUGGAAUUCCAUGUGUAGCGGUGAAAUGCGUAGAUAUAUGGAGGAACACCGGUGGCGAAAGCGGCUCUCUGGACUGUAACUGACGCUGAGGCUCGAAAGCGUGGGUAGCAAACAGG
rnacentral:rRNA from 1 species